AAGUCGUAACAAGGUUUCCGUAGGUGAACCUGCGGAAGGAUCAUUGCAAAUCAUGGGCUGGGGGGAGGCACGGUGGGGAAGAAGUAAUUCUGAACCACUGCGCACCCUCGGCCGACAUUUGGUCGGGACGCUCGUCCUGGAUCAUAUUCACGCUUGUGCUGUUUGACAGAGUAAAGACGCAGUUAAUGAGACAACUUUUAACAAUGGAUCUCUUGGCUCUUGCCCCGAU
rnacentral:misc_RNA from 1 species